rnacentral:lncRNA from 1 species
AUUAAUAAAAUUGUUGUUGUAAUUUUUUGUGGUUGUGCAUAAAGGAUCUCACUCAUAUUUUGUGCAGUAGUCUACUUCAACAUAAGUUUUAUAUCUGGGGAAUACCACGAAAUUGUGGACUCGAAGUUAAGUAACGGGACAAAUAAUAAAUACGUUUUAUUUUAAAUACAGUCUGGCAAUAGCCGUCUUGGUACAAACAUUGGUAAGAAACCAAGUAGGUCAAUGUAUCUGUAGAAUCUCCUUGGUGACUGCGUUGUAUAUUAAAAUUGAAAGUGCGUAUUUUAUAAAAGCGUGUUAUUAAAAUACCAACACAGUAUUUCAACAAUCCAGUAAGCAAUGGAGGUACUAAUGAAAGGCAUCGUGCUAGGAGCCGCGGCGUUGGUAGCAGCCGUCACCAUAGCGUACGAGUGGUACCAGUACCAUCAGGUGCCCAAAGCGUACACCACUUACGGACAGAGGCGGCCUAAGAACGAUUAGUAUUAUGGAGCGAAGACAAACGGACAAUGUUAUUAAUUUAUAAGUAGCUUUAAGGAAAAUGUAUUAUUUGGUGCUUUUUGGAACCUUGUCAGCCAGCAUAAUAAUAUUUUUAGUAGCGCGGCGGUCACCGCCGGCGCCGGACGUGUGCGAGAGCAGGCUC